AGCCAGUGAGCUGAGAGAAGAAACAUGGAAGCAGGUUCAGGGGCGGCGGCAGGUUACGAAGCAGAGCCGCAAGGCGCGGUGGUUCGCCUGCCUUUUGCCCACUGAAAUCCAGCUCUAAGGGCCAUCUGCCAGCCUGGCUCCACCAGGAAGAGACAGCUUUUAUCCAAAUGCUGUGGUAACCUCUGGUGGCUGAUCCUCGCUGUUACACCAGUUGAGAUACACUACUAGAAGCAAAACAGCAGACCACAGCAACAAGCACGCUUCAAUCUGAAAUCACCCUGAGAAUUCUUGCUUAAGACCUACACUUCUAAUCUACUAAGAACAAUGAUUUCUAAGAAAAAUCUGUGGCCAUAUGACUGCCUCAAAAAUGGAAAACAUCACGUAGACAGUAUGCAUGUUACUACAAGUCAGACCUUAUUUGACCAAAAAUUUUAGAUAUAAAUGCCUGUUUAAUUGGACGUGGAUCAAAAAUGAAGAACUAAGUACUUUCCCAUCAUUCCCUGCAGGUUUUGAAGUUGGCAUUUUUCCCCCUCUGCAUAUAUUUAGUUGUUUGCCUUGGGUUGUAAAGAAAUACAGAGGACUCGUAUUAAAGCACCAAUAAUUUGCUGAACUCCGUCUUCUGUGGAACUUGCUGAGUAGGAGAAUUCCUUUUCACCUCCUCCCCCACCUCUCCUUGACUAGAAUAACUGAAGAACAAAUAUCACAUUAUGGUGCUAGGUUAAAGGAACUAGUGUGUUUGCAGUUUAAGUGACUAGCGCA